rnacentral:rRNA from 1 species
UACGGGGGGGCAAGCGUUGUUCGGAAUUACUGGGCGUAAAGGGCUCGUAGGCGGCCAACUAAGUCGGACGUGAAAUCCCCAGGCUCAACCUGGGAACUGCGUCCGAUACUGGAUGGCUUGAAUUCGGGAGAGGGAUGCAGAAUUCCAGGUGUAGCGGUGAAAUGCGUAGAUAUCUGGAGGAAUACCGGUGGCGAAGGCGGCCUGCUGGGCAGUAGCUGACACUGAGGCGCGACAGCGUGGGGAGCAAACAGG